CUCUAGAAUGAUCUCUGAAAUUUGGGCUGACCGCGCCCAUUGCCACACCCCAUGCCCCACCCCCUACUACACCCACCACAUAAGCCCCUUAUUGAUCCAGAAAAAACCUGCACACUGUAGCAAGAGUCACAUGUAGUAAGUAAUACCUGGAAGGCACAGUGAGUCUUGCUCCUGCUAAGAAACUUCAGACUCCCAAAAUGUCUAUCAUAAUUCAUUAUAUAACAAGCGGUAAUUAAUCAAUGGAGGUGUAUUAUACUUAGUUAAAUGAAGUGCAGAUCAUUACAGAUCUCUGAGUAAUUAUUCUAUGUUCGUGAUUAAUUAUGUGGCUGAUUACUGAUGGAGGAUCAGCACCAGUCAAAUAUGAUUUUUUUUUUUUUUUUACAAUUUACUGAACGUACUGCUAAGAAUGUCUCAGGGACAAUGGGGCUCAGGUAGCCUACAGUACAGGGACAAUGGGGCUCAGGUACCCUACAGUACAGGGACAAUGGGGCUCAGGUAGUCUACAGUACAGUGACAAUGGGGCUCAGGUAGCCUACAGUACAGUGACAAUGGGGCUCAGGUAGCCUACAGUACAGGGAGAAUGGGGCUCAGGUAGCCUACAGUACAGUAACAAUGGGGCUCAGGUAGCCUACAGUACAGUGACAAUGGGGCUCAGGUAGCCUACAGUACAGGGACAAUGGGGCUCAGGUAGCCUACAGUACAGGGACAAUGGGGCUCAGGUAGCC
ensembl:lncRNA